rnacentral:rRNA from 1 species
UACGAAGGGGGCGAGCGUUGUUCGGAUUUACUGGGCGUAAAGGGCGCGCAGGCGGCUGACCAAGUCAGGCGUGAAAGCCCCGGGCUUAACCUGGGAGGUGCGUCUGGGACUGGUAUGCUAGAGUGCGGGAGAGGAGAGUGGAAUUCCCAGUGUAGAGGUGAAAUUCGUAGAUAUUGGGAAGAACACCGGUGGCGAAGGCGGCUCUCUGGACCGAGACUGACGCUGAGGCGCGAAAGCGUGGGGAGCAAACAGG